GACGAACGCUGGCGGCGUGUCUAAUACAUGCAAGUCGAGCGGAAUGAAGAGAAGCUUGCUUCUUCUGAUUUUAGCGGCGGACGGGUGAGUAACACGUGGGCAACCUACCUUGUAGAUUGGGAUGACUCCGGGAAACCGGGGCUAAUACCGAAUAAUCCAUUUUGCUUCAUGGCGAGAUGUUAAAAGGCGGCUUCGGCUGUCACUACGAGAUGGGCCCGCGGCGCAUUAGCUAGUUGGUAGGGUAAUGGCCUACCAAGGCGACGAUGCGUAGCCGACCUGAGAGGGUGAUCGGCCACACUGGGACUGAGACACGGCCCAGACUCCUACGGGAGGCAGCAGUAGGGAAUCUUCCACAAUGGACGAAAGUCUGAUGGAGCAACGCCGCGUGAGUGAAGAAGGUUUUCGGAUCGUAAAACUCUGUUGUAAGGGAAGAACACGUACGAGAGUAACUGCUCGUACCUUGACGGUACCUUAUUAGAAAGCCACGGCUAACUACGUG
rnacentral:rRNA from 1 species